UACGUAGGCAGCAAGCGUUGUUCGGAAUUACUGGGCGUAAAGCGAGUGUAGGUGGUGCGAUAAGUUUGGUGUGAAAUCUCCCGGCUCAACUGGGAGGGUGCGCCGAAGACUGUCGCGCUAGAGUGUGGGAGAGGUAGGCGGAAUUCCUGGUGUAGCGGUGAAAUGCGUAGAUAUCAGGAGGAACACCUGUGGUGUAGACAGCUUACUGGACCACUUCUGACGCUGAGGCACGAAAGCGUGGGUAGCAAACAGG
rnacentral:rRNA from 1 species